CAUGGCGCCAAGAGCAGCACCAAUUGGCACUUUUGAAAAGGAGUGCCUCCUCGAAAUUGUCAAAGAUCACAUAGAGAUAAUAAAUGACAAGUCAUCAGGUAUUGGUAAAGCUGAAAAAAGCAGUGUUGGCAAGACAUUGCAAAUAUCUUUUUUUUCUAAAACAGCUGUAGGAAAUCUCCCAUCCAGGUUAGAAAGGUCUGGGAAUCCCUUCGAAAAUCUGUUUCACGGAGUCCACGGAGCAAAGAACCAUUAUUCAUGCUAUAAGCGGAAAAUAAAGAAAACUGGGGAGGUCCACCACCACAGUCCCUAGAUAACAUCACGCAAAAGGUGCUGCAGCUCAUUGAAGGCGAAUUGGAGCCACUGGCGAAUGUGUGUGAUUCGGAUGCUGGAAUACAUGAUGAAUCUAAUGCCAUUACCGAUUCAUUCGCUGAUAGCAAUCCUGGGCCAAUCCCGAUUGCCACUCCACCUGUGGUUCAAGAUUUACCAAAAGAUGGCGAUACCCUGGUUUUAUCAGAGGUGAUUUUCACAUCUAAUGAGGAAGCAGUAGCCCAAGGACCUAGUUGUGAGGAAGAAAGUGCUAGGCCUACGUGCUCC